UGGGGAAUAUUGCACAAUGGGCGCAAGCCUGAUGCAGCCAUGCCGCGUGUAUGAAGAAGGCCUUAGGGUUGUAAAGUACUUUCAGCGGGGAGGAAGGUGUUAAGAUUAAUACUCUUAGCAAUUGACGUUACCCGCAGAAGAAGCACCGGCUAACUCCGUGCCAGCAGCCGCGGUAAUACGGAGGGUGCAAGCGUUAAUCGGAAUUACUGGGCGUAAAGCGCACGCAGGCGGUCAAUUAAGUCAGAUGUGAAAGCCCCGAGCUUAACUUGGGAAUUGCAUCUGAAACUGGUUGGCCAGAGUCUUGUAGAGGGGGUAGAAUUCCACGUGUAGCGGUGAAAUGCGUAGAGAUGUGGAGGAAUACCGGUGGCGAAGGCGGCCCCCUGGACAAAGACUGACGCUCAGGUGCGAAAGCGUGGGGAGCAAACA
rnacentral:rRNA from 1 species